UACGAAGGGGCUAGCGUUGCUCGGAAUCACUGGGCGUAAAGCGCACGUAGGCGGAUUGUUAAGUCAGGGGUGAAAUCCUGGAGCUCAACUCCAGAACUGCCUUUGAUACUGGCGAUCUCGAGUCCGGGAGAGGUGAGUGGAACUGCGAGUGUAGAGGUGAAAUUCGUAGAUAUUCGCAAGAACACCAGUGGCGAAGGCGGGCUCACUGGCCCGGUACUGACGCUGAGGUGCGAAAGCGUGGGGAGCAAACAGG
rnacentral:rRNA from 1 species